rnacentral:misc_RNA from 1 species
AUAAAAAAAAAAAAAAAAAUCCAGAAACCAUCACCAGUUUGCCUGCCUUUCUUUUAUUGGUUCAUUGAAACAAGGGUUUAGGUAUCAAACCCAUAACCCCUCACCUGCACUCCCAUAACUUUCUUUUUUUAAAAAACUAAUUUUUAAUAUUUUCUUCUUUUUGUUUUUAAGAAGCAAAACAUAACAUCAAAAUUCUAUCAGAAAUGAGCAUAUGAAAGGAAAGAUUACCAUACAUUAGCAUUCAGACUCUGAAUAAGGUGAAAGAAUAUAAUGGACUAAAAAUUUUUCAUGCCAGAAGAUCCAAUACAUAGCACACCAAAGGAUGUGGACUAAAGGACAAUUAAUUUUCACGAUAGGAUUUACAAACAAAAAUUGGACUUACCAUAA